UUAUGUGUUGCAUUCCGAAAC
rnacentral:piRNA from 1 species